rnacentral:rRNA from 1 species
GGAAGUAAAAGUCGUAACAAGGUUUCCGUAGGUGAACCUGCGGAAGGAUCAUUAAAGAAUAUCAGGCUUUACAGCCCUAUUCUCACCCUUUGUAUAUCAAACUUUGUUGCUUUGGCAGGCGCCGAACAGCUCUAAACCGCUGGACGUAGUGCCUGCCGAAGGAUAAGAAACCCUUGCAUCUUUGCUGUCUGAGUACUAUAUAAUAGUUAAAACUUUCAACAACGGAUCUCUUGGUUCUGGCAUCGAUGAAGAACGCAGCGAAAUGCGAUAAGUAAUGUGAAUUGCAGAAUUCAGUGAAUCAUCGAAUCUUUGAACGCACAUUGCGCCCUCUGGUAUUCCGGGGGGCAUGCCUGUUCGAGCGUCAUUACAACCCUCACGCCUGGCGUGGUAUUGGGCUCGCCCUUCGGGGCCUGCCUCAAAGUCAGUGGCGGCACCGUUUGACCCCUAAGCGUAGUAAUACUCGUCGCUUCUGGUGUCUAGCGGAGGCCUGCCAGCAACCCCCAUUUUUACCAAGGUUGACCUCGGAUCAGGUAGGGAUACCCGCUGAACUUAAGCAUAU